UACGAAGGGGGCUAGCGUUGUUCGGAAUUACUGGGCGUAAAGGGUGCGUAGGCGGUUAAGUAAGUUAGAUGUGAAAGCCUUGGUUUCAAGCUAAGAACUGCAUUUAAUACUGCAUAACUAGAGAGUAAGAGAGGAUAGUGGAAUUCUGAGUGUAGAGGUAAAAUUCGUAGAUAUUCAGAGGAACACCGGGAGCGAAAGCGGCUAUCUAGAUUAAUUCUGACGCUGAGGCACGAAAGUAUGGGGAGCAAACAGG
rnacentral:rRNA from 1 species